UACGGGGGGGGCAAGCGUUGUUCGGAAUUACUGGGCGUAAAGGGCUCGUAGGCGGCCAACUAAGUCGGAUGUGAAAUCCCCAGGCUUAACCUGGGAACUGCAUCCGAUACUGGAUGGCUUGAAUCCGGGAGAGGGAUGCAGAAUUCCAGGUGUAGCGGUGAAAUGCGUAGAUAUCUGGAGGAACACCCGUGGCGAAAGCGGCGCGCUGGACCACUACUGACGCUGAGGAACGAAAGCUAGGGGAGCAAACAGGA
rnacentral:rRNA from 1 species